ensembl:lncRNA
AAAUAAUGCUGACUAGGGCAAAUACCAUAAGACAUGUCUUUUGUUGGGCCCCAUUCAGGGUUGUUAUGGGGGGGGUGGGAUGUACAUAUAAAAGAUCCUGCACAGAACAAGCCGAGCUCAACUCUUCCCCUGCUUCAUCUAUUCAGGUCAACUAUUGAGGGAUGACUCUACUGUAUCACUAGGACAACACGUCAAACAAACAAUGUGUGGGAUUGUAUGUGGAUGAAACCCUACACCCAACAAAAUUGAAUGCCUCCCCACAAAAUAUAUUGAGAUCUGAAGUCAUCACAGAAGACCAGAGUAAUUAGUAGACUCUAACGCUUUGUUUUCUCAUCCUUGGCCCAUUGACUGGCCCACACAGCCCAGGGAGGAGGAGGAGGAGAAGGAGAGCUGUGGAGAGGAUGCCGGUGGGCGGAGUUGGGAGGGUCGUCAGCUACAUGGGAAACACCUGGGCCAGGUGUGUCCCAGGAUAAAUAGACCUCUUCCAAAUUCAUGGAGGAGACUCUCUCCAUGCAGACACCUUUCUAGAUUUUGUUGUGUUUCUUGGUGGCCUUUUGUUCGUUUGCUUUGGCACAUUUCAACACCCUGCACUAUCACAUUCAUUCAUGCAUGCAAAACACUCACUUACAUGACUGAUUACACACACCAUUGUAUAUUGUACUUAGUUACUUAUUUAAUAAAUAAGUAUAUAUUUUGUUACUCCUUAUCUCCACGUUGUCUCCCUUUUGUUACAGGCUUUGAGCCGGUUCGUGACACUUAGGUAGCCCUUUUUCCCUCCUUCAGCGUGGGUAGUUAUCUUUGUUAGUGGCACUAUAGCCCUGUGAGCUUCAUGGUUGUUUGUUCAUUUCUUGUUUUGUUGG